rnacentral:lncRNA from 1 species
UGCUGAGACUAUUUUCAUGAUUUAAGAAAAUUAUUUACCAGGUUUAUUUCUUUUAUGUGCCUCUGAGUGCUUUGCCUGCCUGUAUGUCCGUACACCAUUUACAUGCCUGGCGGUAGAAGAGGACACCAGAUUCUUUGGAGCGGGAAUUACCUGCACCCGGGUCCUGAGCAAGAGCAGCCAGUGCUCUUAACUGUGGAGUCAUCUCCUGCACACCCACACACACCCCUGGCUUUUCCUAUUUUGAGAUACAGUCUUGUUAAGUGACCCUGACAGUGGCGUCCGUUCUGGUGGUCUUCCUGCUUUAGUCUCCUAAGUGUUAGGAUCACAGAUGUGCACCACCCUGCUCUGCUGUCUGGCAGGAAUGUGUACAUAGGUAAAGGUACUUAAAGCUGUGCUCCUCCCCCUUGCUUGAUAUCCCAUUUAUUUGCCAUGCCUUGCUUACUGCCUUUGCCCAGCCCUAAAGCAGGAGCCUCCCUAGCCGCUCUGCUACCUUAGGCAGGAACUAAAACCCAGGUGGGAAUGAUCCAGCAGCAGUGUUUAGUCAGAGCAGUGUUCUCUGGAAGAAGGGGAAGACUCAUCUUGGAGCAAGAAGACCUCGCAAAGCCUGCCUGCUCAUCCGUGAAAUGAGGGCCGACCCCGUGCCUCUGGGGGCGGAGUGUGAGAAAAGCACCUUGGCAUGCUCUGUCUGCACAGGGCCUGACUCAUAGCACGCCGCGCCGCAAGCGCCGCUCGCUGCAGCAAACAAUAGGCAUUCUGACCGAGGGCCGCCUAGGUGGCCGCCAAGCUGUUUUGAUGCUAAAGGUGAAGCUAGCUUUUGCAAUGAAGUUCUCAAAUUUCUAAUUAAAUCUUGUUUCUAGAACCAACAA